UACAGAGGUCUCAAGCGUUGUUCGGAUUCAUUGGGCGUAAAGGGUGCGUAGGCGGCGUGGUAAGUCGGGUGUGAAAUCUCGGAGCUUAACUCCGAAACUGCAUUCGAUACUGCCGUGCUUGAGGACUGGAGAGGAGACUGGAAUUUACGGUGUAGCGGUGAAAUGCGCAGAUAUCGGGAAGAACACCCGUGGCGAAGGCGGCUCUCUGGGACGGUACUGACGCUGAGACGCGAAAGCGUGGGGAGCGAACAGG
rnacentral:rRNA from 1 species